rnacentral:rRNA from 1 species
GAUGAACGCUGGCGGCGUGCCUAAUACAUGCAAGUCGAGCGAACAGACGAGGAGCUUGCUCCUCUGACGUUAGCGGCGGACGGGUGAGUAACACGUGGAUAACCUACCUAUAAGACUGGGAUAACUUCGGGAAACCGGAGCUAAUACCGGAUAAUAUAUUGAACCGCAUGGUUCAAUAGUGAAAGACGGUUUUGCUGUCACUUAUAGAUGGAUCCGCGCCGCAUUAGCUAGUUGGUAAGGUAACGGCUUACCAAGGCGACGAUGCGUAGCCGACCUGAGAGGGUGAUCGGCCACACUGGAACUGAGACACGGUCCAGACUCCUACGGGAGGCCGCAGUAGGGAACCUUCCGCAAUGGGCGGAAGCCUGACGGAGCAACGCCGCGUGAGUGAUGAAGGUCUUCGGAUCGUAAAACUCUGUUAUUAGGGAAGAACAAAUGUGUAAGUAACUAUGCACGUCUUGACGGUACCUAAUCAGAAAGCCACGGCUAACUACGUG